CAGUAGCCACGGUAAUACGAAGGGUGCAAGCGUUAAUCGGAAUUACUGUGCGUAAAGCGUGCGUAGGCGGUUUGUUAAGUCUGUUGUGAAAUCCCGGGGCUCAACCUGGGAAUGGCAAUGGAUACUGGCAAGCUAGAGUGUGUCAGAGGAUGGUGGAAUUCCCGGUGUAGCGGUGAAAUGCGUAGAGAUCGGGAGGAACAUCAGUGGCGAAGGCGGCCAUCUGGGACAACACUGACGCUGAGGCACGAAAGCGUGGGGAGCAAACAGGAUUAGAUACCCCUGUAGUCCCUGUCUCUUAUAC
rnacentral:rRNA from 1 species